GGUUGGUCCGAGUGCAGUGGUGUUUACAACUAAUUGAUCACAACCAGUUACAGAUUCCUUUGUUCCUUCUCCAUUCCCACUGCUUCACUUGACCAGCCUUAA
rnacentral:Y_RNA from 1 species